GUGCUCGCUUCGGCGGCACAUAUACUAAAACUGGAAUGAUACAGAGAAGAGCAGCAUGGCCCCUGUGCAAGGAUGACAUGCAAAUUCGUGAAGCACUCCAUAUUAAA
rnacentral:snRNA from 1 species